rnacentral:sRNA from 1 species
CGGAUCCAAUAAAUACAUCAAUUAAGGGUCAAGUUAGUAAUUUUUCUUACAUCUCCUCCUCCCGGAGCCCAAGUAUCAUAUACGCCCCCAAAAUAAAGAGCCUUGAAUACAUAU